GGUUCCUUAGAUCGUAAAUGCUACAUGGAUAACUGUAGUAAUUCUAGAGCUAAUACAUGCCACUAUGCCCUGACCCGCAAGGGGAUGGGUGGAUUUAUUAGAACAGAACCAACCAGGUGUGGCUUCGGUUAUGCCUGUUGUACUCUGUGAUGACUCUGGAUAACUUCACUGAUCGCAGUCGGCCUUGUGUCGGCGACGGAUCUUUCAAAUGUCUGCCCUAUCAACUGUCGAUGGUAGGUGACCUGCCUACCAUGGUGAUAACGGGUAACGGGGAAUCAGGGUUCGAUUCCGGAGAGGGAGCCUGAGAAACGGCUACCACUUCUAAGGAAGGCAGCAGGCGCGAAAAUUACCCACUCCCGGCACGGGGAGGUAGUGACGAAAAAUACGAAUACGGGACUCAACUGAGGCUCCGUAAUUCGAAUGAGUACACUUUAAAUCCUUUAACGAGGACCAAUUGGAGGGCAAGUCUGGUGCCAGCAGCCGCGGUAACUCCAGCUCCAAAAGCGUAUAUUAAAGUUGCUGCAGUUAAAAAGCUCGUAGUUGGAUCUGGGUGGUGUGGCGACAUGCCGUUGCUCGUGCUACUGCCUAGACUACGGUCUUGGUGGGAGUGCGGGUCGGUGUAGUUGCCGUGCAACCUUUCAGUCGUGUCUGUGUAAACAGGUGUUAGCUAGGUCAAUAGACUUGUUCAGUUGGCCUGCUAGCAUGCUUCCGGAUGCCUUUAA
rnacentral:rRNA from 1 species